UGGUGAUGAUGAUCAUGAUGGUGGUCGUGGUCGUGAUCGUGAUCGUGAUGAUGAUCAUCGUGAUCAUGAUGAUGGUCAUCAUCAUGGUGGUGA
rnacentral:miRNA from 1 species